ensembl:misc_RNA Metazoa_SRP Metazoan signal recognition particle RNA
GCUGGGUAUGGUGGCGCAUGCCUGUAGUCCCAGCUACUCAGGAGGCUGAGGCAGGAGAAUUGCUUGAACCUGGGAGGCUGAAGUUGCAGUGAGCCAAGAUUUUGCCACUGCAUUCCAGCCUGGGCAACAGAGUGAGACUCUUUCUCAA